ensembl:lncRNA
AGGUCUGGAGGUGUGGUCAGGUAUUAGGGAUGGAGGUGUGGUCAGGUAUUAGGGAUGGAGGUGUGGUCAGGUAUUAGGGAUGGAGGUGUGGUCAGGUAUUAGGGAUGGAGGUGUGGUCAUGUAUUAGGGAUGGAGGUGUGGUCAGGUUUUAGGGAUGGAGGUGUGGUGAGGUAUUAGGGAUGGAGGUGUGGUCAGGUAUUAUGGAUGGAGGAGGUGUGGUCAGGUAUUAGGGAUGGAGGUGUGGUCAGGUAUUAGGGAUGGAGUUAUGGUCAGGUAUUAUGGAUGGAAGUGUGGUCAGGUAUUAUAGAUGGAGGUGUGGUCAGGCACUAGGGAUGGAGGUGUGGUCAGGCACUAUGGAUGGAGGUGUGGUCAGGCACUAGGGAUGGAGGUGUGGUCAGGUAUUAGGGAUGGAGGUGUGGUCAGGUAUUAGGGAUGGUGGUGAGGUAUUAGGGAUGGUGGUCAGGUAUUAGGGAUGGAGGUGUGGUCAGGUAUUAUGGAUGGAGGAGGUGUGGUCAGGUAUUAGGGAUGGAGUUGUGGUCAGGCACUAGGCAUGGAGGUGUGGUCAGGCACUAGGGAUGGAGGUGUGGUCAGGUAUUAGGGAUGGAGGUGUGGUCAGGCACUAGGGAUGGAGGUGUGGUCAGGCACUAGGGAUGGAGGUGUGGUCAGGCACUAGGGUUGGAGGUGUGGUCAGGCACUAGGGAUGGAGGUGUGGUCAGGCACUAGGGAUGGAGGUGUGGUCAGGCACUAGGGAUGGAGGUGUGGUCAGGCACUAGGGAUGGAGGUGUGGUCAGGCACUAGGGAUGGAGGUGUGGUCAGGUAUUAGGGAUGGAGGUGUGGUCAGGCACUAGGGUUGGAGGUGUGGUCAGGCACUAGGGUUGGAGGUGUGGUCAGGCACUAGGGAUGGAGGUGUGGUCAGGCACUAGGGAUGGAGUUGUGGUCAGGCACUAGGGAUGGAGUUGUGGUCAGGCACUAGGGAUGGAGUUGUGGUCAGGCACUAGGGAUGGAGUUGUGGUCAGGCACUAGGGAUGGAGUUGUGGUCAGGCACUAGGGAUUGAGGUGUGGUCAGGCACUAGGGAUUGAGGUGUGGUCAGGCACUAGGGAUGGAGUUGUGGUCAGGCACUAGGGAUGGAGGUGUGGUCAGGCACUAGGGAUUGAGGUGUGGUCAGGCACUAGGGAUAGAGGUGUGGUCAGGCACUAGGGAUGGAGGUGUGGUCAGGCACUAGGGAUUGAGGUGUGGUCAGGCACUAGGGAUGGAGUUGUGGUCAGGCACUAGGGAUGGAGGUGUGGUCAGGCACUAGGGAUGGAGGUGUGGUCAGGCACUAGGGAUUGAGGUGUGGUCAGGCACUAGGGAUGGAGUUGUGGUCAGGCACUAGGGAUUGAGGUGUGGUCAGGCACUAGGGAUGGAGUUGUGGUCAGGUAUUAGGGAUGGAGGUGUGGUCAGGUAUUAGGGAUGGAGGUGUGGUCAGAUAUUAGGGAUGGAGGUGUGGUCAGGUAUUAGGGAUGGAGGUGUGGUCAGGUAUUAGGGAUGGAGUUGUGGUCAGGCACUAGGGAUGGAGGUGUGGUCAGGUAUUAGGGAUGGAGGUGUGGUCAGGUAUUAGGGAUGGAGUUGUGGUCAGGCACUAGGGAUUGAGGUGUGUUCAGGUAUUAGGGAUGGAGGUGUGGUCAGGUAUUAGGGAUGGAGUUGUGGUCAGGCACUAGGGAUGGAGGUGUGGUCAGGCACUAGG